GUACAUAAUUUUAGAUAUAUUCAUUAUUUAUUCUUUAUGAAAAUUACAUUUAAGUCCUCCUUCAUACGCUUUUUCAAGGCGCUUUCUGCUUGUUAAUAGUAACUCGCCUAAUCUCCCUGAUAGUCUGCACCUUGAUCUGUAAUAUAAGUUAUUAAGCUAUGUGAUAAUAUAUUAUAUAUUAUCUGCUGACGACGGCAUACAAAAUUUUACAUGGAGUGGAUUACCUUGGUGGUUAUCAAUUAUUUGGUAAGUUCCCCUAAAAUUUAAAAUUACCGCCAUGCUAUUUGAGUUUUGGCCAAUCGGGCUUUAGUACUCAGUGGUUUUAUAUGUGUAUUGUAUAAAAGGGUAUCUAAUCCUUGUUUAUGGGCAAUAUUUGUAUAUAGUUUAAUCCAUGAAGUAUUUAAAUAUUAUUUCACCAAUAUUUCUUUAGGAUUUAUUACACUCUUCUUGUUCAUCACUAUAAAAGUCUGACCGCGACUGCUGGCACUUUUUUAGUCAUAGUAUGUAGAACCGGUUUAAUCUUACUUCCGUAAAUUUAUAAAUUCUCUUGCCUGGUUAUACCUCUAAGUACCAUGAGUAUCCUAAUUUAUAUGAACGUUUUACCGU
rnacentral:rRNA from 1 species